rnacentral:piRNA from 1 species
UCUGAGGAGGCAGAGGUUAGAG